rnacentral:rRNA from 1 species
UACGUAGGGUGCAAGCGUUGUCCGGAAUUAUUGGGCGUAAAGAGCUCGUAGGCGGUUCGUCGCGUCGGCUGUGAAAUCCCGAGGCUCAACCUCGGGUCUGCAGUCGAUACGGGCGGACUGGAGUUCGGCAGGGGAGACUGGAAUUCCUGGUGUAGCGGUGAAAUGCGCAGAUAUCAGGAGGAACACCGGUGGCGAAGGCGGGUCUCUAGGCCGAUACUGACGCUGAGGAGCGAAAGCGUGGGGAGCGAACAGG